rnacentral:rRNA from 1 species
GGGUCAGUAGGUUGGUCGUGCCACCGGUACGUACUGGUCUCACUGAUUCCUCCUUCCUGAAGAACCGUAAUGCCAUUAAUUUGGUGUUGCGGGUAAACAGUACUGUUACUUUGAAAAAAUUAGAGUGUUUAAAGCAAGCUAACGCUUGAAUACAUUAGCAUGGAAUAAUGAAAUAGGACGAUCGAUCCUAUUUUGUUGGUUUCUAGGAUUGACGUA